UUCUUAUCAAGAGAGGUGGAGGGACUGGCCCUGUGAAGCCCGGCAACCGGUAUGUAUUUUUAUAAUUCAUACAAUGGUGCCAAUUCCUGCAGCGAAAGCUGGAAGAUAAGGA
rnacentral:ncRNA from 2 species